GACGAAGGUGGCGAGCGUUGUUCGGAAUCACUGGGCAUAAAGCGCACGUAGGCGGUGUCGUAAGUCGGAUGUGAAAUCCCUCGGCCUAACCGAGGAACUGCGUCCGAUACUGCGAUGCUUGAGGAUCAGAGGGGUGCAUGGAAUUUCCGGUGGAGCGGUGAAAUGCGUUGAUAUCGAGAGGAACACCAGUGGCGAAGGCGGCUUUCUGGCCCGUUCUUGACGCUGAGGCGCGAAAGCUAGGGUAGCAAACGGG
rnacentral:rRNA from 1 species